GACAGAGGGUGCAAACGUUGUUCGGAAUUACUGGGCGUAAAGCGCGUGUAGGCUGCUCGGAAAGUCGGAUGUGAAAGCCCUGGGCUCAACCUAGGAAGUGCAUUCGAAACUUCCGAGCUGGAGUGCUGGAGAGGAAGGCGGAAUUCUCGGUGUAGAGGUGAAAUUCGUAGAUAUCGAGAGGAACACCGGUGGCGAAGGCGGCCUUCUGGACAGCCACUGACGCUGAGACGCGAAAGCGUGGGGAGCAAAC
rnacentral:rRNA from 1 species